rnacentral:rRNA from 1 species
AUUGAACGCUGGCGGCAGGCCUAACACAUGCAAGUCGAGCGGAUGAAGGGAGCUUGCUCCUGGAUUCAGCGGCGGACGGGUGAGUAAUGCCUAGGAAUCUGCCUGGUAGUGGGGGAUAACGUCCGGAAACGGGCGCUAAUACCGCAUACGUCCUGAGGGAGAAAGUGGGGGAUCUUCGGACCUCACGCUAUCAGAUGAGCCUAGGUCGGAUUAGCUAGUUGGUGGGGUAAAGGCCUACCAAGGCGACGAUCCGUAACUGGUCUGAGAGGAUGAUCAGUCACACUGGAACUGAGACACGGUCCAGACUCCUACGGGAGGCAGCAGGGGGGAAUAUUGGACAAUGGGCGAAAGCCUGAUCCAGCCAGGCCGCGUGUGUGAAGAAGGUCUUCGGAUUGUAAAGCACUUUAAGUUGGGAGGAAGGGCAGUAAGUUAAUACCUUGCUGUUUGGACGUUACCAACAGAAUAAACACCGGCUAACUUCGU